rnacentral:pre_miRNA from 1 species
AGCACAGGAGCUGCUGUCUCGCACAGGAGCAAGUUACCGCGUUCACCUAAUCUGCAGUAACUUGUUCCUGUGAGAGGUAGCGUCUCCUGGCU